rnacentral:rRNA from 1 species
UACGGGGGGGGCAAGCGUUGUUCGGAAUUACUGGGCGUAAAGGGUUCGUAGGUGGCUCGCUAAGUCAGACGUGAAAUCCCUCAGCUUAACUGGGGAACUGCGUCUGAGACUGGCAAGCUCGAGUGCAGGAGAGGAACGCGGAAUUCCAGGUGUAGCGGUGAAAUGCGUAGAUAUUAGGAGGAACACCAGUGGCGAAGGCGCCAAACUGGACGAGUACUGACGCUCAUGCACGAAAGCGUGGGGAUCAAACAGG